UUCAAAGCUUUGUAUCUUCAACAACGCAGGUGGCAUACCGUGUUAUUUUACGUAGCUUCAAAUCAUCCCAAUGGAGUAGGGAGUUGAAACUUGGUUGAUACAAUGGAAAAAUCAUUGUCUUUCUAGUAAAAGGACCUGGGUUCAAAUCCUGGUUCUGAUACUCAUUACCUGUGUGACCAUGGGCUGAUCACUUACCUUUCCUGGGUCUCAGUUUCUUCAACUGUAUGCAUCAGGAUCACCAUGGAAGUCGAGAUGCUUUCCAGAGAUUCCACCAAUCACUAAUAUCACUUAAUUGGGAAUAUUUGGAAUUGUUUAGAAGGAAUCCAGGGAAGAAGGAGAGAGAAAGCAGGAUGAAGAAGUGGAAAGUUGGAAUUGCCCACCAUCUUGACACCAGGUGAAAUUAAAUACAUCCUGAGUUUUCAUGAAAUCUUUGGAGCAAAUUAAGUGAAACCACAGGCUGUCUAGGAAGGGAGCCACUGAUUGCUUUCUUCAGCAUGUUACCUUACCCUGUUAAAAUUUAACUGAGCCACUCUGAUGUUGCCUCCAACCACUUUGGUAUUUCUCUACCAUCCUCUGUGUUUCUCUUAUAUAUGAAGUAAAAUUUUGCAAUAGGCAUCGUGUCAUAAAGUUGGCUUUUCACAAGAUUGUUUCCAUAGAACAGCUGAAGUACUUAGUGACCACCAGAGGGCAGAAAGAGCCUUUGUGGAUUUCUUCAUCCUGUUGGGAAACAUCAGACUAGCUUUUUGCUUCAUGAAGGUCAAUCUCUAUCUUCAGUCAAUCAGACCAGAGGCUGGGCUCCUCCUCCUGCUGGUGAUCAUCUUCUUUGACACUUACCUGUUGCCACUCAGCACUGACUCAGAGAGCCAGGCACUUUCAACCCCUGGGACUCACAAGGCUGUCUCCUUAGCUGGACACAUUCAUCUCAGGAUCCCUGUUCGGUCUUGCCUCUACUCAGGUCAGGAAACGUAAAGCCAAAAAGACAGCCAGAGGCCUAAGACCCAGGCUUAGCUCACCUAAUUGAGCCCCUGCUGUAGCUACCCACAUGAGAACAUUUCUUUUAGAGUGGGGAGAAGGGCAAGCAAGCUAGGGCUCCCUCACUCCUUAUGGGAAGGCUCCAAGAGUUGGCAGUCGGGAAGAGAGAUAGACCCGAUGCAUUUCUUUUGAGUGGUGAACGAGUCUCUUCUUACUAGGGAGCUAAUAAAGGGAUUGUUUCAUCAUCUCAAAGCACCAAGCCCCCUCAAUGCUGAGCCAGAAAUGUUCCUAGGAGUCACCAGAGGAGAGCUGGUGCGUGCUCUAUGAAAUGCAGUCUCUGCUCCAUAAGCCUACAAUAACUCUAUGAGUUACCUGUAUGAUUAUUCCUAGUAUGAAGUUUUAUUAAACAUAAUUUUUA